AUACACAGUGUUUGUGGUGGGGCAGGAAGUAGUUUAAAAAAUGAACUUCUCAGCUUCUCCCUGAGUUUCCUUUAUAAAUUGCAAAGGUCCAUUAUUUAAUGCACACUAUAUUUUAGGAUUAGGAUUUUAAUCCACUCUUGAGUGGUCAGCUUAUUCCUACACAAAGAAAAAAAAAAAAGACCCAGAAAAGAGCUGAGAGUAGGAAGCAACCUAAGUGCAAAUAUUUUAACAGUUAAAAGCAGGUGGACCUUAGUAACAGAGCGGGGGUGAGCUGGGAAGGUGCCCCCUGCCCCAGACUACCUGCCUGUUACUUGAGCCCUUGCCCGUUAGAGAGCCCUCCUUAAGACUAAAACAUUGGUCUUGAUUACAAAUCUGUUGCCGGCUCCUAAGUAUGAAUUGGUUAGCAAAGUCUUCCAGCAUGGACAGGCCAGGGAGGAUAUAAGUAACACAGUGAUUGAUUGGUUCUUUUCUAUUUAAAAAUCAUUUCACCAAGUAUUUAAUCAGUACUUUUGUGUUCACAAAACCCCCUCAAGUACGUUGAUAACACCCAAUAUCUAACAAUUAUUCAGUACUUACUAUGUACUACACGUUGUUUGAAGUCCUUACAUUCAUUUGUUCCUUUAAUCAUCACAGAAUCCUAUGGGUAGGACUUCCCUAGUGGCACAGUGGUUAAGAAUCCGCCUGCCAAUGCAGGGGACACUGGUUCAAGCCCUGGUCCGGGAAGAUCCUACAUGCCACAGGGCAACUAAGCCCGUGCGCCACAACGACUGAGCCUGCGCUCUAGAGCCUGCCAGCCACAACUAUUGAGCCCACACGCUGCAACUACUGAAGCCUGUGCACCUAGAGCCCAUGUUCCACAACAAGAGAAGCCACUGCACUGCAAAGCCGGCACACCACAGUGAAGCGUAGCCCCCGCUCGCCGCAACUAGAGAAAGCUCAGCUCAGCAAUGAAGACCCAACACAGCCAAAAAUACACAACAGGUGCAGAACUCCAUUUGUUGGGUCAUGGAUUCACAAGAAUCCCAAGAUCUCUCAAACAUGAAGACCCCACGGAUGCUCCAGAGGAUGACUACAGACGCCUCUGCUCCAAAACUACCAAUAUGAUGUCAACCAGCUUGCACAAUUCCAAACAAUACAAUUCGCUCUGGGAGGCGGUAGGAGCUGGCUCUAGCACACUCCUGAAUGGGGACCAAAUGCCAGGAGGUGGAUGGAGCCACUGAGGCAAGAAACGGACAAAAGACCGGGACUCAGAUCUGGAUUUUGACCUUGGGCAAGUGACUUAACCUCCUGGGUCUCGGCUUCUCAUCUAUAUAAUGAACAGAUGAACGAAAUGAAUGGAGUGAAUUCCAGCUGUCGUGUACAGCUCUGUUCU